rnacentral:rRNA from 1 species
AUAUUGCACAAUGGGGGAAACCCUGAUGCAGCGACACCGCGUGUGGGAUGACGGCCUUCGGGUUGUAAACCACUGUUAGGGGGGACGAAGUCCGACCGGGCGAAUAGUCCGGACGGGUUGACGGUACUCCCAGAGAAAGCCACGGCUAACUCUGUGCCAGCAGCCGCGGUAAGACAGAGGUGGCAAGCGUUGUCCGGAUUUAUUGGGUUUAAAGGGUGCGUAGGCGGUCUUUUAAGUCAGUGCUGAAAUACUCCAGCUUAACUGGAGGGGUGGCAUUGAUACUGGGAGACUUGAGUAUAGUUGAGGUAGGCGGAAUUGACGGUGUAGCGGUGAAAUGCUUAGAUAUCGUCAAGAACACCGAUAGUGAAGACAGCUUACUAAACUAUAACUGACGCUGAGGCACGAAAGUGUGGGGAUCAAAC